UACGAAGGGGGCUAGCGUUGUUCGGAAUUACUGGGCGUAAAGCGCGCGCAGGCGGUCCUUUAAGUCAGGGGUGAAAGCCCAGAGCUCAACUCCAGAACUGCCUUUGAUACUGGCGAUCUCGAGUCCGGGAGAGGUGAGUGGAACUGCGAGUGUAGAGGUGAAAUUCGUAGAUAUUCGCAAGAACACCAGUGGCGAAGGCGGCUCACUGGCCCGGUACUGACGCUGAGGUGCGAAAGCGUGGGGAGCAAACAGG
rnacentral:rRNA from 1 species